rnacentral:rRNA from 1 species
UACGCUAGUUGGUGAGGUAUGGCUCACCAAGGCGACGACGGGUAGCCGGCCUGAGAGGGCGACCGGCCACACUGGGACUGAGACACGGCCCAGACUCCUACGGGAGGCAGCAGUGGGGAAUAUUGCACAAUGGGCGAAAGCCUGAUGCAGCGACGCCGCGUGAGGGAUGACGGCCUUCGGGUUGUAAACCUCUUUCAGCAGGGAAGAAGCGAAAGUGACGGUACCUGCAGAAGAAGCGCCGGCUAACUACGUGCCAGCAGCCGCGGUAAUACGUAGGGCGCGAGCGUUGUCCGGAAUUAUUGGGCGUAAAGAGCUCGUAGGCGGCUUGUCACGUCGGUUGUGAAAGCCCGGGGCUUAACCCCGGGUCUGCAGUCGAUACGGGCAGGCUAGAGUUCGGUAGGGGAGAUCGGAAUUCCUGGUGUAGCGGUGAAAUGCGCAGAUAUCAGGAGGAACACCGGUGGCGAAGGCGGAUCUCUGGGCCGAUACUGACGCUGAAGAGCGAAAGCGUGGGGAGCGAACAGGAUUAGAUACCCUGGUAGUCCACGCCGUAAACGGUGGGCACUAGGUGUGGGCGACAUUUCACGUCGUCCGUGACGCAGCUUACGCAUUAAGUGCCCCGCCCUGGGGGAGUACCGCGCAGGGUUAAACUCAAAGGAAUUGACGGGGGCCCC